rnacentral:rRNA from 1 species
UACGUAGGGGGCGAGCGUUGUCCGGAAUUAUUGGGCGUAAAGAGCUCGUAGGCGGUUCGGCAAGUCACGUGUGAAAUCUCCACGCUCAACGUGGAGGCGCCACGUGAGACUGCUGUGACUCGAGUCCGGUGAGGGGAGCGGUGGAAUUCCCGGUGUAGCGGUGAAAUGCGCAGAGAUCGGGAGGAACACCCGUAGCGAAGGCGGCGCUCUGGGCCGGUACUGACGCUGAGGAGCGAAAGCGUGGGUAGCGAACAGG